rnacentral:rRNA from 1 species
GACGAACGCUGGCGGCGUGCUUAACACAUGCAAGUCGAACGAUGAAGCUGAGCUUGCUCCGGUGGAUUAGUGGCGAACGGGUGAGUAACACGUGAGCAAUCUGCCUUGGACACUGGGAUAACUGCGGGAAACUGUAGCUAAUACCGGAUACGAGGCUUGAAGGCCUCUUCGGGUGUGGAAGGAAUUUCGGUCAAGGAUGAGCUCGCGGCCUAUCAUCUUGUUGGUGAGGUAAUGGCUCACCAAGGCGACGACGGGUAGCCGGCCUGAGAGGGUGACCGGCCACACUGGGACUGAGACACGGCCCAGACUCCUACGGGAGGCAGCAGUGGGGAAUAUUGCACAAUGGGCGAAAGCCUGAUGCAGCAACGCCGCGUGAGGGAUGAAGGCCUUCGGGUUGUAAACCUCUUUUAGCAGGGAAGAAGCGAAAGUGACGGUACCUGCAGAAAAAGCACCGGCUAACUACGUGCCAGCCGCCGCCGUAA